AGCUUUGCACAGUGGCUGUAUUGUAGCCAACGAGGUUUAUCUGCAGUGUGAUUAUUGCUAAUUGAAAACUUUUCCCAAUACCCCACCAUGACGACUUGAAAUAAAGUUGGCAUUAGCAAUUUUUGACAGUCUAUACAGAC